GACGAACGCUGGCGGCGUGCCUAAUACAUGUAAGUCGAGCGAAUCGGAGGGAGCUGCUCCCAAAGAUUAGCGGCGGACGGGUGAGUAACACGUGGGCAACCUGCCUGUAAGACUGGGAUAACUUCGGGAAACCGGAGCUAAUACCGGAUAAUCCUUUUCCUCUCAUGAGGGAAAGCUGAAAGAUGGUUUCGGCUGUCACUUACAGAUGGGCCCGCGGCGCAUUAGCUAGUUGGUGAGGUAACGGCUCACCAAGGCGACGAUGCGUAGCCGACCUGAGAGGGUGAUCGGCCACACUGGGACUGAGACACGGCCCAGACUCCGUACGGGAGGCAGCAGUAGGGAAUCUUCCGCAAUGGACGAAAGUCUGACGGAGCAACGCCGCGUGAGCGAAGAAGGCCUUCGGGUCGUAAAGCUCUGUUGUCAGGGAAGAACAAGUGCCGGAGUAACUGCCGGCACCUUGACGGUACCUGACCAGAAAGCCACGGCUAACUACGUG
rnacentral:rRNA from 1 species